UACAGAGGGGGCAAGCGUUAUUCGGAAUUAUUGGGCGUAAAGGGCGCGUAGGCGGCUUUUCAAGUGACGGGUGAAAUCCCUCGGCUUAACCGAGGAACUGCCUGUCAGACUGGAAGGCUUGAGACCGGGGAGAGGUGAGUGGAAUUCCCAGUGUAGCGGUGAAAUGCGUAGAUAUUGGGAGGAACACCAGUGGCGAAGGCGGCUCACUGGACCGGAACUGACGCUGAGACACGAAAGCGUGGGUAGCAAACAGG
rnacentral:rRNA from 1 species